GACGAACGCUGGCGGCGUGCCUAAUACAUGCAAGUAGAACGCAGUUGCGAACGGGUGAGUAACGCGUAGGUAACCUGCUUAAUGGCGGGGGAUAACUUUUGGAAAGGAUAGCAAAUACGGCAUACUGUAGGAUGGACCGCCGUUGUAUUAGCUAGUUGGUGAGGUAAAGGCUCACAAAGGCAACGAUACAGAGCCGACCUGAGAGGGUGAUCGGCCACACUGGGCCUGAGACACGGCCCAGACUCCUACGCGAGGCAGCAGUGGGGAAUUUUGGACAAUGGAGGAAACCCUGAUCCAGCCAUCCCGCGUGUGCGAUGAAGGCCUUCGGGUUGUAAAGCACUUUUGGCAGGAAAGCGGUACCUGCAGAAUAAGCACCGGCUAACUACGUGCCAGCAGCCGCGGUAAUUC
rnacentral:rRNA from 1 species